GAUACUUAGCUGGUAAGAGCAUGAGACUCUUAAUCUCAGGGUUGGGGGUUCAAGCCCCACGUUGGGCA